AUGAACGCUGGCGGCGUGCUUAACACAUGCAAGUCGCACGAGAACUCUUCUGCUUGCAGAAGAUAGUAAAGUGGCGCACGGGUGAGUAUCGCGUGGGUAAUCUACCUCUGAAUUGGGGAUAACAUCGCGAAAGCGAUGCUAAUACCGAAUAAUAUCCCGAGAACUUAGGCUUUUGGGAUCAAAGAUGGCCUCUACAUGUAAGCUAUUGUUUGGAGAUGAGCCCGCGUACCAUUAGCUUGUUGGCAGGGUAAUGGCCUACCAAGGCAACGAUGGUUAGCUGGUCUGAGAGGAUGAUCAGCCACACUGGAACUGACACACGGUCCAGACUCCAACGGGAGGCAGCAGUGAGGAAUUUUGCGCAAUGGGGGAAACCCUGACGCAGCAACGCCGCGUGAGUGAUGAAGGCUUUCGAGUCGUAAAGCUCUGUCAAGUGAGAAGAACCUACUUUUUGUUAAUAUCAUUAAGUACUGACGGUAUCACUGAAGGAAGCACCGGCUAACUCCGUGCC
rnacentral:rRNA from 1 species